GGGCCCCGAUUGGCCGAUAGUCCAUGUCAUGUGACAUUACACUCACUAUAUAAAGGCAGGAGAGGGCCGGGAGGGGCUGCCACUUCCGGGAGCGGUGCUGGGGGGCCUUGGUGUUCGGGAUUGCCGGCCGGGAGCAGGUGGGUGGUGAGCAGCUGUGUGUGCUGAGUGUCCUUCCCUGGAUAAUGAGGCUAUUUCAGAGGCUGGAAGACUUCCCUGAGACAGAGUCUCAUGAUUUUUACUGGUGUAAAGAAAAAAAAAAAUAGAAAAGAAGAAAGCCAAUUUCCCUACCUUCUAUUAAGCAGGAGAUUGUGCAUGGGUGAUGGAGGAGAACGCUCCUGGGAAGAAAACAGAUUUCAGUGUCAAGAUUGCAAAGGGUUAUUAAUAUAAACAGAGGACAUAAACUAAAAUGAUUGCUGAAAAUGAUGAAAAAUAUCUCAGCAUUAUCCUCCUUAUGUUGCUUGCUCAUCAUUUGAGAGUUUAAAGGACAGAAUCAUCACACGGAUCCAAAACACUUCCUGGAAACACUCCUGUUUGCAUCCAAGCAUUCAUGCAUUUAUUCUCCUGUCUGUGUUAGCGGUUGCAAUCGUGAAUAAAACUUAUCUACACAAA